rnacentral:lncRNA from 1 species
GAGAUUUUGUAAUUUAAUAUAAAAAAAUAUAAAUUAUCACAGGCAGUUUGAUAUCUUAUAUAUCAUGUAUAUAUUGCACAUACUUUAAAAAAAAAUAUCUAACAAUUAGGAAUGCAAGUCAACCUGAAAUCUUAAACAAAUAUAUAUAUAUACAUAAAGGAACUGUCAAACACUACAUCAAAUUGGUCAAUCUAAUGAAUCUUUCAGAAAUGUAGUGUAAGGUUUACACCAAAGUAUUGUAAUCAGUUCAAAAUAUAGUUAACUACAUGAAUAAUGGUGAAUAUUUUCCCAUGCAGGUUUCAAAAGGUUGCAAGCGCAAUAUAUUCUAUAAAGGAU